AUGUUGUUACUAUUGGUUUGGGGGAUAUGUCUCAUGAGUUUAAUUUUGCUAAGUUUCAUAGACAACCCCAUGAUAAAGAAUUACCUAGUAAAUAUGAAUUAUUGGUCUUGCCUCUAUUGCCGUGCCUCCUAA
rnacentral:rRNA from 1 species